CUCUGUCACAUGCCUCACUUCUGGAAGCCUCAGGCAUUCCUUGCCUUGUAGAUGCUGUUCUCUCAAUGUCUUCACAUUGUCUUCCUUCUGUGUGUGUCUGUCUCCGUUUUCAAAUUUCCCCAUUUUAU